rnacentral:lncRNA from 1 species
AUUGUUACAAUGUCUAUAUUUCCCAAAGCAAUCUCCACAUUUAAUGCAAUUCCUAUCAAAAUACCAACAACAUUUUUCACAGAACAAACAAUCCUAAAAUUUGUAUAGAUCCACAAAAGACCCCAAAUAGCCAAAGCAAUCUUGAAAACAGAAAGCAAAUUUGGAGGCAUCACAAUUCCAGGCUUCAAGUUAUAUUACAAAGCUGUGGUGAUCAGAACACUGUGGUACAGUAAUGAGCACUGAGUGUUAUAUGUAACUGAUGAAUCACUAAAUCCUACCCCUAAAACUAACAAAAACAAAGAAACAAAUUAAGAAAAAACCUCUGUGGUACUAGUACAGACAUGGACAUGUAGAUCAAUACAAUAGAAUAUAAAAUCCAGAAAUAAGCCCACAACUAAAUGCCAAUUAGUCUUUGUCAAAACAGGAAAGAAUAUCCAAUAGAAAAAACACCAUCUCUUCAACACAUGUGUUGGGAAAACUGGACAGCAACAUGCAAAAGAAUGAAACUGGACCACUUUCUUAUGCCAUAUACAAAAAUAAAUUCAAAAUGGAUUAAAGACCUAAAUGAGAGACCUUGAAAACAUAAAAUUCUUAGAAAAGAACAGAGGAACUUUUUCAACAUCAGCCAUAGCAAUUUUUCUUUCUAGAGAUGACUCUUGAGGCAAGGGAAACAAUAAAAAAUGAACUACUGGGACUACUACAUCCAAAUAGUAGCAUUAUCUACAAUAGCCAAAUUAUGGAGGCAGCCCAUCACCUGAUGGGUGGAUAAAGAGGAUGCGGUAUGUGUGUGUGUGUAUAUAUAUAUAUAUAUACACACACACACAUAUAUAUAUAUAUAUACGUGUAUAUAUAUGGAACAUAUAUAUAUAUGGUUGGAAAAUAUAUAUUCCUCACCCUUAAAAAAGUGAAAUCCUGCCUUUCCUGCCAUUUACAACAACAUAAGUGGAUCUAGAGAGUAAAAUGUUAAGCAAAACAACUCAGAGAAAAACAAAUACCAUAGGAUUUUAGUCAUGUGUGGAGUUUAAGAAAACAAAUGAGCAAAAGGGAAAAAGAGAGAGGCAAAGCAAGGGACAGACUCUUUGCUCUAGAGAACACACUGCUGGUCACCAGAGGGGAGGUGGGCAGGGGUGGGGAUGGAGGAGUGCACCUGUUGUCAUGAGCACCAGGUGAUGCAUAGAAUUGUUAAAUCACUGUAUUGUACACCUGAAACAAAAUAAUACCGUAGUUAACUAAUUGGAAGUAAAAUAAAAAUGUAAAAAAAAUAAUAAAAAUAAAAAUUAGGUGUACAAAAAAAACACCACGUGCUCUGCAAACCUCUUGAGUGAACGUCGGCAUCUGGUGGAACAUAGACAAGCACCACCUCCCAACACUUUUCCAAUGGCCUCUGGAAAUGUGUGUUUCUGCAGAAAUGACCCAAUUACCUUAUUCGACACCCAUCGAGUGACUAUGUUAUGUGUGCAGAUGAAAGUCUGCAUACACACUGGACUGUGAAGGUCUAAGACAGGAAGUUUAUAUUCUGAAAGUUGAAACUAGGUAAGUAAAUACGGCAAAGACCAAAGCUGUAAACUCCACUUGUUUAACCGUCACUAAGGACCUCGAUGUAAGAAAUUAUUUCCACCAUCAGAAAUUUCGCACCAAAAGCGAUUUGUUUCCUGACUUGCAUCAAAAAGGGCUGGUGGGGUUUGGUCCCGGUCAGGUUGCCGUCCCCUGACAUGGAGAUUUGCAAGUCACCCGAGAAAGCAUGCGACAGCGACAGCAGUGACAGCGGAAGGCCAACAGCCCCCGGAGCUUGGGCUGCUCUUCAGAACAGCUGCUGGCC